rnacentral:rRNA from 1 species
CCUACGGGUGGCAGCAGUGGGGAAUAUUGCGCAAUGGGCGAAAGCCUGACGCAGCGACGCCGCGUGAGGGAUGAAGGUCUUCGGAUCGUAAACCUCUGUCAGCAGGGAAGAACGGUCACUGUGCUAAUCAGCAGUGAAUUGACGGUACCUGCAAAGGAAGCACCGGCUAACUCCGUGCCAGCAGCCGCGGUAAUACGGAGGGUGCGAGCGUUAAUCGGAAUUACUGGGCGUAAAGCGCUCGUAGGCGGUAUGGCAAGUCAAGGGUGAAAUCCCCGCGCUCAACGGGGGAACUGCCUUUGAAACUGGCAAACUGGAGUGUGUGAGAGGAUGGUGGAAUUCCAGGUGUAGGAGUGAAAUGCGUAGAUAUCUGGAGGAACAUCGGUGGCGAAGGCGACUAUCUGGCACACAACUGACGCUGAGGAGCGAAAGCGUGGGUAGCAAACAGGAUUAGAUACCCGGGUAGUC